AUUUAUUCAGUAUAAUUAGUACAUUUGGCUUCCAACCAAAAAGCUUGAUUUAACAUCAAAAUAAAUA
rnacentral:tRNA from 1 species